rnacentral:rRNA from 1 species
AUGAACGCUGGCGGCGUGCCUAAUACAUGCAAGUCGAGCGAACAGACGAGGAGCUUGCUCCUCUGACGUUAGCGGCGGACGGGUGAGUAACACGUGGAUAACCUACCUAUAAGACUGGGAUAACUUCGGGAAACCGGAGCUAAUACCGGAUAAUAUAUUGAACCGCAUGAUUCAAUAGUGAAAGACGGUUUUGCUGUCACUUAUAGAUGGAUCCGCGCCGCAUUAGCUAGUUGGUAAGGUAACGGCUUACCAAGGCAACGAUGCGUAGCCGACCUGAGAGGGUGAUCGGCCACACUGGAACUGAGACACGGUCCAGACUCCUACGGGAGGCAGCAGUAGGGAAUCUUCCGCAAUGGGCGAAAGCCUGACGGAGCAACGCCGCGUGAGUGAUGAAGGUCUUCGGAUCGUAAAACUCUGUUAUUAGGGAAGAACAAAUGUGUAAGUAACUAUGCACGUCUUGACGGUACCUAAUCAGAAAGCCACGGCUAACUACGUG